AGACAAUCACAAGGCAUCUUGCUAAAAUGCAGAUUCUGAUUCGGCAGACCUGGGCGAGGUCUGGGACUCUGCAUUUCUAACAAGGUCCCAGGUGAUGCUGAU
rnacentral:pre_miRNA from 1 species